GACGAACGCUGGCGGCGUGCUUAACACAUGCAAGUCGAACGGAAAGGCCCUGCUUUUGCGGGGUGCUCGAGUGGCGAACGGGUGAGUAACACGUGAGUAACCUGCCCUUGACUUUGGGAUAACUUCAGGAAACUGGGGCUAAUACCGGAUAGGAGCUCCUGCUGCAUGGUGGGGGUUGGAAAGUUUCGGCGGUUGGGGAUGGACUCGCGGCUUAUCAGCUUGUUGGUGGGGUAGUGGCUUACCAAGGCUUUGACGGGUAGCCGGCCUGAGAGGGUGACCGGCCACAUUGGGACUGAGAUACGGCCCAGACUCCUACGGGAGGCAGAAGUGGGGAAUAUUGCACAAUGGGCGGAAGCCUGAUGCAGCAACGCCGCGUGCGGGAUGACGGCCUUCGGGUUGUAAACCGCUUUCGCCUGUGACGAAGCGUGAGUGACGGUAAUGGGUAAAGAAGCACCGGCUAACUACGUG
rnacentral:rRNA from 1 species